GACUGGACAACAAUGGGGAGGUGAGAUGCUGCUGCUGAUUUGGGAGUGGGCUUGGUCUAAUGGUGACUGAGCCUACCAGAAUUCUGAAACAGGUGAGGAAAUUGAGCAUUAAGAGAAUCGAACAACUUGCUUUUCUGUGUGGGAAGGGAAGUGGAGGCGUUUCAACUGCGUGACAAGUAACCCACUGAAUGGGUUGUCCUGUGCAUCCUCUGCAGAGAAGCAACGAAGAAUGACAGAGCGAGGUGAAAGCAGGGUCAUCUUUUCCACGAGGAGCAUCUGUUCUUCCUUUAGGGCCAGGGCUUUGUCAGUGGGUUGUGCCGACAGCAGUGAGGCAAGUCUUGGCCAUGGGCAGUGGCCUCAUUCACUUGUGCCCCUGUGUACAGGGUGGCAGCUGUUUGUGGCUUCCAGGGCCAGAACUCCUCUACACCCCCCCCCACCCGAAAACUCUCAGAGCCAUUGUAAGGUGAGAACAAGCAGGCCACCAUGAAGGUCUGCUGUGCGGUGGACAUUGAGUGGACAACCCCUCUUAGACAUCAAAGGAGAGCUUGGAACAGCCGAGGCUGACCCCUUCUAACAUCCCCUUUAGGCCACCUCCCACCUUGAUUGAGUUCUGGGCCUCAGGUCCUUGAUUGAGCUUCCCAUUCUUUCAUUGGUAAGCUUCUAAUUAGGCCAGUGUUCACCAGGAGAGCUGAAGGCAGAGGCUGAGAGUGGGGAGGACAGUCAAAGGAGAGUAUUUUGGCAGAUGCCCGGCUCUUGUCCUGCCUCUCUCAGGCAGCCUCAGGAGACCUGGGGUCAAGCACCUUCUGUUUUAGUUCUGGUCUCUGUGUCAGAAAUCAAUGUCAGGCAGUUGUCCUCCACACCUAGACCACUGCAGGCCCGUCAGCUAAGCUCUGCAUUCCUGGGGAGUGAGCCAUCAGAGGGCUCCUCAGGGUUGUGGGAAGGAUGUGAAGCCAGUUCUUCUAUCUUGCUUGCCUUCACUACUUAAAAUGCAUUUUCGCACAGCCUGAAAAGGAUCUGGUUGCUCCCUUCUCUGUGUCCAGUUGGUUGCAUCUGAUCUACUAGGUCAACAUAGCCUCUAGCAGGAAUCAAACUGUAUUCAGAAAGAGUUGUUGCUUAAAGAGAGACGGAGCGGUAGGAUCAGGUGCAGCAGGGAAGUGCACUGAGGAAGAGGCUUUCAUGUGGUGUGAUUCAAGGCCUUGCACAGGCCCUGAAAUUCCCACCAUCUUAACUCCAUGGUAUUGGCAUUCUAGCUUCCUGAAGGCAGCUCACACUGUAGCAUGGAUACUAUAUAUAUGUAAUGAUGAUUAUAAACAUCUUUAAGCACUUUAAGGUUUAAGAAAUGCAUUUAAAUCAUUGCAUUUCUUUGGGAUGGUCCCAGAUGAGUCAGACUUCAGCUGAAAUUGUGUUGGUGGUUCUGGAUAAAACUCACCAUCCCAGUGUUCCUCUCAAAGCUAUUGGGUUGGCCAAAAAGCUUGUUUGGGUUUUUCCAUAAGAUGUUACAGAAAAACCUGAACCAAUUUUUUGGCCAACAUAAUAUUUUCCUGAAUGGUUUGUUAGAAAAAGCCUAUCCGAAGAGAGCCUUUACUAUCAAGGUCUCUGAGAGGCAGGGUAGGGGACAUAGGCUGGGAUGCUAGGAAAAAUGUGAGCUGUCCCCAGCCUGACCCGCCAAACUCACCUCCCUGAUGGAAGAGAUCAGUGGUGCAAAGUCACUAAAAAGAGCUAUUUUUCUAGAGGGUAAGACCGGGAGCCCAAGCAGAGCUCUUUGGGAUCCAAAUGACUUACUUUGGCACAGAAAUGUGAAGGAGGGAGCUGUCAGCCUACUUGUUCUUGGAAUAUGGCACCACUGCAAAAAGUCAGCCAGAGGUAUAGGAACUGCAGCAUUCUUUGGCAGCUCAGUCUGAUGUUUUCAGUAGCUUGGGGAAGCAACCCCUAGCCCAGCCAGAAAGAAACAUUCUCACAUAGGUGGAAGGCAUUGUAAUAUGCUGGGAAGACAGGAGGAGCUGGCUUUGAGCAAAUAUGUGAUGCUUCAGAGACCCCUGAAGUGACUUUUUGAUGAUGGCCAUUCUGACUGGUGUGAGGUGAUACCUCUUUAUAGCUUU